rnacentral:rRNA from 2 species
AACGUAGGAGGCGAGCGUUAUCCGGAUUCACUGGGCGUAAAGGGCAAGUAGGCGGCUGGGUGCGUUGUGCGUGACAGUUCCCGGCUCAACUGGGAGAGGUCGUACAAUACGGCCCGGCUAGAGGGCAGGAGAGGGAAGUGGAACUCCUGAUGUAGCGGUGGAAUGCUCAGAGAUCAGGAAGAACACCGGUGGCGAAGGCGGCUUCCUGGCCUGCCCCUGACGCUGAGAGGCGAAAGCUAGGGGAGCGAACGGG